GAAUGCUUACUGGAAAUUGCUUUUCAAAAGUUUUUUUUUUUUUCAUAAGCACUCAGGUUUUGGGUUAGUGACCUCGUCCCCACGUCACUGCGGAUCAAUACUUCUCUAAGCUUAUCACAAAACUGUUUAACUAAACCCUCUCUAGGUACAUAUAGGGAGGUUUAAGGAGAGCAGAAUGACCAGUCAUGGCAAACUCGGUUCAGAGACUGGACUUGUUUCUCGUUUUCUUGCAGAUUGAGGAACCCUGCAAGAGGAUAUAAGACAUGGAGGAACACGUGGAUCAGUCAACUUUGCAAAACAGGGUCUGUGGUAAGUCAACUUGUCCACAGAAACUCUGAGAAAGGAUAUGAUGUCAAAAAUAAACAAUCAGUUGAGCUUA